CAGAGUAGGCAGACGCGCGUUGACCAAAGUGUCUAAAGUGCCUCACGGACGGGGAGUUGCCGUGCGGACGAAAAGGAGCUUCCUUGCGGUGCGUUUGCCGCAUCCCGCUGU
rnacentral:ncRNA from 1 species